rnacentral:tRNA from 1 species
GCCGACGUAGCUCAGCGGUAGAGCAACUGAUUCGUAAUCAGUAGGUCCGCAGUUCGAAUCUGCGCGUCGGCACCA